AUUGAACGCUGGCGGCAGGCCUAACACAUGCAAGUCGAACGAGUGGCGGACGGGUGAGUAAUGUCUGGGAAACUGCCCGAUGGAUGGGGAUAACUACUGGAAACGGUAGCUAAUACCGCAUACCAUCGGAUGUGCCCAGAUGGGAUGAGCUCGUAGGUGGGGUAACGGCUCACCUAGGCGACGAUCCCUAGCUGGUCUGAGAGGAUGACGAGCCACACUGGAACUGAGACACGGACCAGACUCCUACGGGAGGCAGCAGUGGGGAAGAUUGCACAAUGGGCGAAAGCCUGAUGCAGCCAUGCCGCGUGGAGGAAGAAGGACUUCGGGUUGUAAAGUACUUUAAGCGGGGAGGCGUUAGCCGCAGAAGAAGAACCGGCUAACUCCGUGCCAGCAGCCGCGGUAAUUC
rnacentral:rRNA from 1 species